UUGGUUAUCCCCUUGACAACGUUUGAUGCAUGAGCAAAUUAUUGGCUACAGUUCCACCAACAACACAGAAAAGAGGAAAGCCCUCACAAUUUCAGUCCAAGAAACCCAUGAACUUCUGUAGCAAAGGUUAGUGAACUUCACCAUUACUUUCCUCCGACCUCAAAGAAUCCAUGCAUCCGUAAAAUUGCGAAUACAUCCCUAAUUUGAAAGAUAUUCUAUCAGACAUGAAACUAGUCUCAAAUUACGAUCAUCUAAUUUUGUGUUGUUUUCUGUCAACAGAUGGGCAAGCUGUUGCAACUUAAUUCCUACUGCACAUUCGCAACUCCAUAAGUAUCAUUCCCCACCAUCAUGCAAUCAAAGGGAACAUUCUUCUACAUAUCAAGAGAAGUAACUCCAGCAAAAGAAAAAUGAUGAUAAUCCUAAAUAAGAUUCAAGCACAUUUCC
rnacentral:lncRNA from 1 species